UUCAAGCAUGUCUAUGCUGCAUUUCUAUAAACGCGACUACAGGACCCAGUAUAAAUGAAAAAAAAAAAAAAAAAUACCCCUGAGUUCUUCGAACACCUUAAGCCACUAUCUGUCUAACCCUUUCAAACUCCUUAAGCCGUGGUUAGACCCAAUCUGCAACUCCCAACUAUUCAUGCCCUCUCUACCACCGAUCCUACUCACCGGCGCCGACAAAGCCCAAUCCUCCAUCACCAGCGUUGCCUUGGGUCUCUCCCUUUCUCUCUCCAACUCUCAAUCUCACUUAAGACACUUUCACCAUCUCUCUCACUCUCUCCCUUUGACUCCCAAACCCUCACCUUCAACCCACUCCUCUCUACCACCGAUCCCCUUCACCGGCACACGAGCACUCUUCUUCGUCUUUGUUCACCUUCUUUCCCACUCUUUCCCUUUGACUCCCAAACCCUCACCUUCGAUCCUUAUCUCGAUGACAUAUUUUUGAUCCUCCUGACCAUGCUGCUGUCGACAAAGCCCAGGCCUCCUAACAUUGGCACUUUUCAAGAAUAGGAAGAAAGAGAAUCUCUUUGCAAAUCGGGGGGUUUCAGGUUGGAGACAUUGAGCCACCUGCGAUUCUUUUUCAACUUCCACUGCUUGCUGAAGAUAAGGUGUUGUACGCAGGUAUAGGGAGGAGAAAACGGCAAUUGUCGUUUGUUUACGUUGGCGAAGGAUCGUCACAUUCCCGACAAAGGGUGGAGGCACAAGAUGAGGAAGCCUAUAUUUCUGAGGAGGCAAGACCGGUUGCGAGUGACGCUGAGACAUAGCUCUUAGGUACUUAACAUGUCUUCGAAUAAAAAUCAUAUUGGUUGAUCUAGACCUUGAAUUCUUUAACCUGCACAAGAUGGCCCCGCCAAUUCAAUGCUAAUACACUCCGCACAACUCACACUCAAGUGGUAUUGUGGUAAGGCAAAGUGAACGAGGUAGUUGACUAUAAGACUCCCACCACCCUGGGGUCACUAAUACAUUAUUAGAUCAACUUGUCAUCUUUGUUGUUGCUAGCUUGUCAUUAAGACUAAAAAUUGUCAAAGUAGGCUACUAAUGCAUUUGUCUUAUCUCAUCCAUACAUUACACUUCGUCUCCCUUAAAAAAACAUUUCGAACACUUUCAUUGUCUAUUAAUAUGC